AGAAUCAACGCUGGCGGCGUGCCUAACACAUGCAAGUCGCACGAGAAAGGGGAGCAAUCCCUGAGUAAAGUGGCGCACGGGUGAGUAACACGUGAAUAAUCUACCUCCGAGUGGGGAAUAACUGAGAGAAAUCUUAGCUAAUACCGCAUAACACUUACGAGUCAAAGCAGCAAUGCGCUUGGAGAGGAGUUCGCGGCCGAUUAGUUAGUUGGCGGGGUAAUGGCCCACCAAGACGAUGAUCGGUAUCCGGCCUGAGAGGGCGCACGGACACACUGGAACUGAAACACGGUCCAGACUCCUACGGGAGGCAGCAGUGGGGAAUUUUGCGCAAUGGGGGAAACCCUGACGCAGCAACGCCGCGUGGAGGAUGAAGCCCCUUGGGUGUAAACUCCUUUCGAUCGGGAAGAUAAUGACGGUACCGAUAUAAGAAGCCCCGGCUAACUUCGUGCCAGCAGCCGC
rnacentral:rRNA from 1 species